rnacentral:rRNA from 1 species
GAUGAACGCUGGCGGCGUGCCUAAUACAUGCAGGUCGAGCGAACGGACGAGAAGCUUGCUUCUCUGAUGUUAGCGGCGGACGGGUGAGUAACACGUGGAUAACCUACCUAUAAGACUGGGAUAACUUCGGGAAACCGGAGCUAAUACCGGAUGAUAUUUUGAACCGCAUGGUUCAAAAGUGAAAGACGGUCUUGCUGUCACUUAUAGAUGGAUCCGCGCUGCAUUAGCUAGUUGGUAAGGUAACGGCUUACCAAGGCAACGAUGCAUAGCCGACCUGAGAGGGGGAUCGGCCACACUGGAACUGAGACAGGGUCCAGGCUCCUACGAGAGGCAGCAGUAGGGAAUCUUCGGCAGUAGGCGAAAGCCUGGCGGAACAACGCCGCGUGUGUGAUGAAGGUCUUCGGAUCGUAAAGCUCUGUUAUUAGGGAAGAACAUAUGUGUAAGUAACUGUGCACAUCUUGACGGUACCUAAUCAGAAAGCCACGGCUAACUACGUG